CCUCCCAGCAGUCCUCAUCUUAGGAGGUGGCUAAACUCUGGAGCUGCCUGGCCUUGAAUUCCAGCCUCCGAACACAGUGCCGCGUAUAUCACAGGCUCGGUGCGCGCACGAGAUGCACGAAUACGCGAAAAGUAACUAGAACAGGCGUGACACGAAGAAGUGCUCGCAGCCAGGCCGUCCCCCUCCGAGCAGAAGGCUAGAAGAGGGCUCCGGAAAACUGACUGGAGGUCAAAGGUAAGACUUGAUGAUAUUCACGUUGAGGGUCCCCAAGAAAACCGCCCAGCCAGGCCACCUCCAGGGGACAACAGUGGAGCCAAGUCCCAUCCACCGGUGCAGUUUCCAAACAGCUGCAUGGUCCCCACCCUCAAGUACAGCAAAGAGCCCAGGGCUACCGGACCAAAACAAACAAAUGGAAAACAAACAAACAACACAGCUAAAUGAUUCAGAGAAAAGAGACCUUCACGCAAAGUAGUAUUACCAUUUUCAGAGAGCUAAGUGAAGAGAGUGUAUCCACGAAACAAGAACAUGAUGCUACAAAAGAGGACUGUACUUCAAAGAGGGAGCCAGACACCACGUGUGUCCUGAAGGAAGACACACGACCAGGGUGAAGGGAUCAAAUCAAACUCAUGUUACUGAGUCUCUAGACCCAACCUCCAAUGAAUUUACAGGAAUUCCUUAAACUCCACCACAGAGAGACACGGUCACCAAGAUCUAGACAGUGAAAAAUUCUACAUGACAAGUAAAUGGCAAGAGAAAAUAAGAAGAUGGAAAGGGAAUGUAUAGAUUAAAAAGAGACUUAAAAGAACAGCGCCUGGGGGCGCCUGGGUGGCUCAGUCAGUUGAGCAUCUGACUCUUGAUUUCGGCUCAGGUCAUGAUCUCACAGUUUGUGAGAUCGAGCCCCACGUCAGGCUCUGUGCUGACAGUGCAGAGCCUGCUUGGGAUUCUCUCUCUCCCUCUCUCUCUGCCCCUCCCCUUCGUGUGUGCUCCCUCUCUCUCUCUGAAAAGAAACAUUUCAAAAAAAUAAGAAGACAAAAUUGAGACACUCUCCCAGAACGUAGGGCAAAACCGAAGUCUUGGAAAGCUGGACAGCAUUUAAAAAUGGAGAGGACCAGUCCAGGAGGGCCAGAAAGAAGCAAGAAAACAUUCUAACAUGAACGUGUCCACUCCGUGAGGGAAGGGACUUCUGUCUGCUCUCUUCACUGGUGUAUCCAUCCCCUAGUGCUUACAACAGUGGCAGGAAGCCUCAAAAACUGUCUGUUCAUUAAAAAGAAAAUAGGGGGAAAUAGUUCAAGAAAACUUCAAACUGCAGGAACAUCUUCCCAGGCUGAAGGGGCAGGCUGAAUGUCCAGCACAAUAAAUGAACAGAGUCCCGUCAAAGCACAAUACUGUGAAAUUUCAGAACUGGGGACAAAGAAAAGGCACUACAAGAUUCCAGUGAGAAAAAAACAGGACAUUGAGAGACUUCAGAAUCAGAAUAGCUCUGGGUAUCUCAGUAACCCCCUGGGUAAUAACAGGGCAAGCCUUCCAAGUUUUGCAGGAAGCUUAGUUCUAGUCUAGAAUUACCUGCACACAUCAAACUACCAAAUGUGAAAGUCGAAUAAAGACAUUUUCAGACACUCAGUCUCAAAAAGUUUACCUCCGCUGUAUCCCUUUCCAGGGAUCUAUGGAGGCCACGUUCAUGAAAUAAGAUAGUAAAACAAGAAAGAAAAAAAAAAAAAA